UAGCCUUUUCAGAAUGGAUAGUGGCU
rnacentral:piRNA from 1 species